AAGGCAUGCCGUUCAAGGUUCAACAAAUUUCAACGACUCGUCGUUGAGUAAAUGAUAGUCGUUUGAUCUCUUUUGGGCUUUUCAAAGCUGGUAGUCGCCAGGUUGGGCAAAGUGAAAAAACCAGAGAGAUCGUCAUUCAGUAGAGAAAGAGAGGCAGAUAGAGAGAAGGAAGGAGAGGGAAGGAAGCAAAUGGGGAGCCUAUAUACAUGGCUGCUGAAUUUAUUUCUCCUUAUAUCUGUCAUUGGCCUCAUAGCAUUCCAGAUUUGAUUUGGUUUCAGCUCAUGUGCUUGACGGAUCUGGAGUUUGAUUAUAUGAACCCUUAUGAUUCAGCAUCUCGGAUAAACAUAGUAAUUUUGCCCGAGUAUUUUGCUCAAGCACUGCUAUGCCUUACCUUUCUAAUCACUGGACACUGGUUUUUCUUUCUCUUGUCCCUCCCCUACCUAUACUACAAUAUCACAUUGUAAGUUAUCAUUUUUCAUCCCUAACCCAUUCAAUCAUUCCUUAAACAAUGAAUUCUUAUACCAAGGAAUGCUAUAACGUAGGUGGGUUUUAAAAUUGCAAGUUAAUUAGGACCAUGAAUGUCUAUGAAAUGCACCAAAAGUUCCAUUUUUUGUUAUAAUUUUUCUAGAUGAAUGCAGCAUUUUUGAAAUUGUCGACUGAAAAUGAAUAAAGAUGAAUCUUUUCCCCCUCAAAAUGAUGCUUCUAUUGCCCUUUUAUAGGUGCCAUAGUUGCAAGUUAUCAUUGCCAUCAAAAUGAUUUGUAAACCUAUGGUCAGGUACUUGCAGAGACGGCACUUAGUUGAUGUUACUGAGAUCUAUAACCAGCUGAAUCGGGAAAAGCAGCGGAGGCUUUUUAAGCUUGGCUUUCUUGUGAUUCUUUUGGUCCUUUGUAUAUUCUGGUUUCUUUGGACAAUUGGAGAAGCAUUUGAAUAAUCAGGCGUUUAGUGCUCUUGCCAAGUUUCCCUGCUGUGACAUGUUUUUUUGGUGGGGAACCAUACAAACUGUUGGGGAUUACACUCAGGGCUUCUGUAAAUUUAGCAUGAAUUUCACUUUAAUUUUAUUUUAAUUGAGUUAUUUAGCUUCCAUCAAAUUGUAUUAUAGUUUAUCCAGUUCUAAUGACUGGUCAUCUGCAAUGAUGACAAAUUAGAAACCUAGCUGAGGAGGAAGGUAGCUUUUUGUCUGGCAUAAUUAUUCAGAUUCUUCAUUUUUAUAUCAGAUAAGAUGAUCCAUCAGAUGUGCUUAGCAGUUGUUAUCUCAUGUUACUGCUCUGUUUUAAUAGAUUGAGAAGAUAGUUUUUCAUGUGUGAAUCAAUGACUGUUUAGAUUUCUAAUUUUAUGAGCUGUUACUCCUCACUAUUCAGAUGGUAGUGUUUGUUCGUUUUGCUCUUUCUGUAGAGAAAUACGAAGAAGCAGGCGCCAUCAUCUAAUUUUGCAACAAUAACAGGCCAGAUUCAAUGAUGUUGGACUCUGAUUCUUUUGUCUAUACGAGACAGAGGUCACCUGAGUAUAGUCAGGUAGUUUGGCGGUCCAAGUAGAGAUAAGACUUCUAUCAAGGUGUUCUGCUAGAGAAUGAGAUAAGGUGAUUCAGUUCAUUCUCCUUUCUUUUCUAUUGCUAUAUUUUUGGAUUUUCUGAUUUGUUAUGCUAUACAAGACUCCAAAUGCUUUAUUUUGCUGUUAAACCAUAGCCAAUCUUCCUUGCUAACAAAUCUAUAUUCUAUUUCAUGAUUAAAUAUGGGAACUUUAAAUUUUG
rnacentral:misc_RNA from 1 species